GUUGCAGUCGUGACCUGUGUUUAUUCAGUUAAGAGCGUCACAACAUAAAAGUGACAAGUGUUUUUUUAAAAUAUUUGUGGGAAAGACCGUCCUAUAUAAGUUUAGGUCGAUUUUCUGUGAAAAGAGAAAGAAAAUACCAAGCCUAGUUCCUCCAGAAGUUUAAGUCCUUCUGCUAGUUUUAAUUCAAGAAAACAUACCACACUCGAAAAAUCUUGCCCCAAAGUCGAAAAAUCCCAACCCAACCCAGAAGAACAGGUCGUGGUAGCAGAAUUAUGUGUAGAAGCAGCUAAAGGAGGAAGAUAAAAAUGAAAUUCCUGAAACCAAAAAAAAGGGAAUUAUGCAGUUACUAGAGAAAAACAUAAUACCCGACUUUUAUCAUGGUUUCUACCAAAAUUUAUUUAAAUAGAUUAUAGAUUUUGACUGUUUUGUUAGAUGUUUUUACUUAAGAGUUAAGAAGAAAAUAACUAGGUAUAUGAGUUAAGUUUUCUUUUAAUACGUUUUAAAAAUACGUUUCUUUUUCUUUAAUACGUUUGUACUGAUGUAAGUGUAACCUAGUAUUAUAAAACUUCAAUAUUAUAAUUUUUUAAAAUAUGUUACCAAAAAUUUGAUUUAGGUUUAUUUUUCAUAAGGUUUGUUCCAAUCCAACGCGUUAGAAAACCGUCAUCAAACGAUCACGCUCAUACGCAGUAAUUAAAAUUCGACGGUAAUGACAGUAAUUGUUCGGUGACGGUUUUGAACGCGUUGGA